UUUUGAAUUUGGUACCUAAUAAGAGAGGAAAUGAUUAAAAUUUAUAUAUUAAAUACGAGAAGAUUAAUAAUGCAUUUCUUAUAAUAAUAUUUACCCACAUACUGCAAACAUUCCACUAUUAUGAUGAAUUAUAAGAAUAUACAACCAAUCAAAAAUAAUUACGAUUAUCACACAAACAAAUGAGCUCCAAACUAAUUGAAAAUAUACGUAAAAAAAAUAAUCUUCGUGGUUAAAAAUCAAAUAAUUAACUCUAUAUAGUUGUUGUCUUGGUCGAGUUUCAUUUAAAGGAUAAACAAUGUCCAAAAUAGGAAAAAUUAAUGGUACGAAAAAAAAAAUUAUCAUAGCGACCAAUAAUGUAUCUGAAAAAGAGGAAAAGAUCAAUCUGAUAAAUGCAGUUACAUUCAUGUACGAUAAUAUUCGAUGUGUAACAAUAAGAAAAUGACUAUACAAAACAGCUGUAUUGGCGUCUGCCAUUUAUGCUUAAAAUCGAAGAUCCAUGAUUAUCUUGAAAUAUUGAUUGCUUGCAAUAUGGUGCUUACUAAACGAAUCAGUGAAAAAUUGUUAUUUGCGAUGGAUAAUAU